rnacentral:rRNA from 1 species
UACACCGGUAUUAUAUUAUAUUAAUGAGAAUUUAUACAAGUGAUUGUUAAAAGCAUUUAGAAAUUAAGUAAGGGCGACAAAAAAUUUAUAUGCCAUAAUAUUAGCAAGUAUUGUAAAAGAAAAUUUAUUAAUUAAAUAAAAGUAAGAAUUCUAAUUUGUACCUUUUGCAUCAUGGCUUCGCUAGAUUUGAAUUCUAUUUGGAGCUUCUCGAAAUCUAAUGAGCUAUCUUUAUCUCUUAUAUUUAGUAAGUUGAAGAGUAGUUGUAGAAUAAACUUUCUGAAAGAUAAAGAUUGAAAUGAGAUUUUAUUCGUAUUAGAUGAUAGCUAGUUUUCCUAAGAGGUAUAUAAGUACUUCGAAUUGUGUGUCAUAAAUGGUUAUACAUUAGCUGAUCACAAUGCAAGAAAGUUACUCAGGAUAAGCUGGAUAACUUUAGUUUAGCAAAAGUAUCUGAUUUAAUGUUAAACUUAGGCUUGAAAAUAGUCACUAUAAAAGAUCUUGUUAUAAUGCCAUUUAGUGCGAGAGAAUAGGAUAAGUCUACUUAUUAUUUGAUGGAAUGAAUUUAUUGGUAGCCAGAUAAGCCAUAUAAAUGCUGGGAUGAGUAUUAAUAGUAUAUUUAGUCUUAAACAGCAAAUACCACAAAUCUACAAAUAGUGUCUUUAGAACAAACCACGGGAAGGAACUCGGCAAAAAGUAUUCUGCCUGUUUAUCAAAAACAUGGCUCCUUGACAACAAAAGAUAGGGAGUCGUACCUGCCCAGUGACACAAUUUUUAACGGCCGCGGUACUCUGACCGUGCGAAGGUAGCAUAAUCAUUUGCCUUAUAAUUAAAGGCUGGAAUGAAUGGUUUGACAAGAACACAACUGUCUCCACGUGGCUUAGUAGAACUUAGUUUCUAGGUGAAGAAACCUAGAUAUAAUUGAUAGACAAGAAGACCCUAUCGAGCUUUAAAGAAAUUAACAAUUUACGAGUAAUGUUUAUCAAAAUAUUUAUUUUAAAAAAUUUUAGUUGGGGCGACAAAGGAACCAAAAAAGCUUCCUGUAUUUAAUUGUAAAUUUACAAGUAUUGACCCAAGUUAUUUUGGUUAAAGGAAAUAGUUACCGUAGGGAUAACAGCAUAAUCUUUUUUGAGAGAUCUUAUCGAAAAAAAGGUUUGUGACCUCGAUGUUGGAUCAGAAUAUCCUAAAGAUGCAACAGUCUUUAAGGGUUGGUCUGUUCGACCAUUAAAAUUCUACGUGAUCUGAGUUCAGACCGGCGUGAGCCAGGUCAGUUUCUAUCUUCAAUUUAGUAACUAAACUCAGUACGAAAGGACCAGUUUAUAGCAAUAAAGUUUGUAAUUAAUGAAAAGUAUAAUU